CAACAGCGAACCGUGAGGAGUCAGCAGAGGCCAUAGUAGCGGCGACGCCGGCCGCGAAGGGC
rnacentral:ncRNA from 1 species